rnacentral:rRNA from 1 species
GACGAACGCUGGCGGCGUGCCUAAUACAUGCAAGUAGAACGCUGAAGGAGGAGCUUGCUCUUCUGGAUGAGUUGCGAACGGGUGAGUAACGCGUAGGUAACCUGCCUGGUAGCGGGGGAUAACUAUUGGAAACGAUAGCUAAUACCGCAUAACAGUAGAUGUUGCAUGACAUUUACUUAAAAGGUGCAAUUGCAUCACUACCAGAUGGACCUGCGUUGUAUUAGCUAGUUGGUGGGGUAACGGCUCACCAAGGCGACGAUACAUAGCCGACCUGAGAGGGUGAUCGGCCACACUGGGACUGAGACACGGCCCAGACUCCUACGGGAGGCAGCAGUAGGGAAUCUUCGGCAAUGGACGGAAGUCUGACCGAGCAACGCCGCGUGAGUGAAGAAGGUUGUCGGAUCGUAAAGCUCUGUUGUAAGAGAAGAACGAGUGUGAGAGUGGAAAGUUCACACUGUGACGGUAUCUUAACAGAAAGGAACGGCUAACUACGUA